CAAAUGCCCAGGAGGACAGAAACCUCCUGCAGAGCAGAAGGGCAAAAGCUCCCUUGAUCUCGAUUUCCAGUACGAAUACAAACUGUGAAAGCAGG
rfam:Apaloderma vittatum contig7708, whole genome shotgun sequence.